rnacentral:misc_RNA from 1 species
GUUGGUGAACCAGCGGAGGGAUCAUUACCGAGUACUACAACUCAUAACCCUUUGUGAACCAUUAUACCUGUUGCUUCGGCGGCGCCUCCCCCGGGGGGUGCCCGCCGGUCUCCAGAAUCUCUGUUUUCGAACCCGACGAUACUUCUGAGUGUUCUUAGCGAACUGUCAAAACUUUCAACAACGGAUCUCUUGGCUCCAGCAUCGAUGAAGAACGCAGCAUCUGACUGACUCGACAGCUGACAAUCUCGUA